CAGGUUUGACAUGCAUCUGCACCCCGGUGAAAGCCGGCUCCUUCGAGGGUGAUGCACAGGUGCUGCAUGGCUGUCGUCAGCUCGUGUCGUGAGAUGUUGGGUUAAGUCCCGCAACGAGCGCAACCCUUAUCAGCAGUUACAAGUGUCUGCUGAGACUGCCGGUUUUUGACCGGAGGAAGGCGGGGAUGACGUCAAGUCCGCAUGGCCCUUACGCCUGGGGCGACACA
rnacentral:rRNA from 1 species